rnacentral:rRNA from 1 species
UACACACCGCCCGUCACACCAUGGGAGUGGGUUGCUCCAGAAGUAGCUAGUCUAACCGCAAGGGGGGCGGUUACCACGGAGUGAUUCAUGACUGGGGUG